AUAAAACAGACGAAAAUCCUUGCCCUUGGAAGCUUAAGCUCUAGAGGAGAGAAACAGACAUGGGACGAAUAUAUACAUUUCGGGUGAUGAAGGAAAAGCAAGCAAGACUUGUGAACGAGACGCCCUGGCAACGCUGCACCCGUCGCCGAGAUGCGCCUCCAUCUGGGGUGGAAGGCAACAUCUGCUAAACAGCUGCAUCUUAUUUAAGGACUGCUGACCCUCCUGCCUGUCCAGCUCCUCAGUGACGUUCCAACAACUCAGACAUCAACAUGAGGUGAUGUGAGGCAUCUUCCAGCAUCCCAGG